rnacentral:lncRNA from 1 species
CAAGACCUCACUGGUUCCAGUAUUCAGGAGACAUGUUUUCACCCAUUGCCCACUGCCGCAGACUAUCCCCUUUUUGGGUCUCCUAUCUGCGCGGAACAGGCCUCUAGUUGUAGGUGGACUAGAAGUUAGCGAAUGAAUGACGAACAGAAUCAGCACGAGAGACUGUGUAGAAUAUGAAUGCAAUUUGACAAAUCGAGCAUCAGACUUUUUAUACAGAAGAAAAUAUGGAAGUCAGGAGGUGACACAUCGCCAAGGUAUGAAGUUUCUUAGAAGAUCAGUGUUGAAGAUGACCAAAGGCUCCAAGCA